rnacentral:lncRNA from 1 species
CGCACGCGCGAGCAAGCCCGGCCCCGGAAGCGAGGGGGCGGGAACCGAGCCUCUGUGCGUCAUUUCCGGGAGAGCGUGGGGUUUCGCUCUCCGGGGCAGUGGCUGCUGUCAGAAUCCCUUCUUUGAGGAGGCACCUGCUCUUCCGCUUUUCUCCAGCUUUCCAUGAGCUGUGGGGAGUAGCUUGGGUGUCCUCUCACUCUUACUAGAUAGAAAUCAAGAAAGCGCCUUGAGGCGAGAGAAGAGUCCCGUCAGGAGGCCCAGUGGGGUCCUCCACACUCCACGGUCCCCGCCUCCGGGAAGGCCGCGCGUGGCAUGGGCAGAGCGCGGAAUCCUGGCUCCACUGCCCACCUGCCCGUUGACUUUAGGCGACGCCAACCCCAGGCUGGUGAGGAGUCCCUGAAAUAUAAGGCACGGGAGCCACCCGGAGCCACCCGACCUGCCACGUUAAGCAGCAUGAGGGACCGAAAGAUGAGUCUGGGCCAGUCUCUUAGGAGCUUCUGGUCUCGCAGAGAGGCGGGAGAUUACUCCGAAAGCACAGCGGCAACAGACUAUAAAUUCCCCAAGAGAAGUUUCCAAGAGCAAAAGCAGCUGAAGAACUGUGAACUAGAUUCAGGUGCUUUUCCUUUCACUUACAGCAAAUGAGCAACCUGGCAAGCAUCCAGAAGUUACUCCAAAUUAUUGAUUUCCUGCUUCACACAAAAUUAUCUGGUAAGGUCAAUCCCAUUAAAAUUAACAAGUUAACUGAGGUUCACAUAAAAAAGGGCACAUUUUCUAAGAUACUGAUAUAUAAUACUAUGCUGAACUACCAUCAAUGGUCAAUAGACUAAUUAUAUGUUACGUACAAUAUACUGAAGUUUUUCUUCCAGCAUCUAUGCCGUUACAGAAUUAUUCAUUUGCCUAAACUUCAGGAAAAAAGUACUUGCAAUUUUUUGCCAGCUAAAAAAAAUCAGCAAGUUAAAAAUCAAGACAUUUUCAAUUAAUUUCCUUCAGUUUCACUAAACAUCUCCAGGUAGCUAAAAAGGAUGUUCUAUGUUUUAUGUAUCCAGUAACUUUAAUUGCUAUGAGAGCA